rnacentral:rRNA from 1 species
UACAGAGGGUGCGAGCGUUGUCCGGAAUCACUGGGCGUAAAGGGCGCGUAGGUGGCGCUCCAAGUCUGUGGUGAAAGCUCGAUGCUCAACAUCGAGUCGGCCACGGAGACUGGAGGGCUCGAGCACUGUAGGGGCAGAUGGAAUUCCGGGUGUAGCGGUGGAAUGCGUAGAGAUCCGGAAGAACACCGGUGGCGAAGGCGGUCUGCUGGGCAGUUGCUGACACUGAGGCGCGACAGCGUGGGGAGCAAACAGG